UUAAGUGACUAAGCGUACAAGGUGGAUGCCUUGGCAAUCAGAGGCGACGAAGGACGUGCUAAUCUGCGAAAAGCUUGGAUGAGUCGAUAAGAGGCGUUUAAUCCAAGAUGUCCGAAUGGGGAAACCCAGUAGAUGAAGAAUCUACUAUCACUUACUGAAUACAUAGGUAAGUGAGGCAAACCGGGAGAACUGAAACAUCUAAGUACCCCGAGGAAAAGAAAUCAACCGAGAUUUCGUUAGUAGCGGCGAGCGAACGCGAAGGAGCCUGUUAGUGAUAAUGACAGAGACAGAGGAACAAGCUGGGAAGCUUGGCGAUACAGGGUGAUAGCCCCGUACUCGAAGUCCAGGUCAUGGUACUAAGCUAACGAUAAGUAGGGCGGGACACGUGAUAUCCUGUUUGAAGAUGGGGGGACCAUCCUCCAAGGCUAAAUACUCCUGAUUGACCGAUAGUGAACCAGUACUGUGAAGGAAAGGCGAAAAGAACCCCGGUGAGGGGAGUGAAAUAGAACCUGAAACCUUGUACGUACAAGCAGUGGGAGCCCUUUUUGGGUGACUGCGUACCUUUUGUAUAAUGGGUCAGCGACUUAUAUUUUGUAGCGAGGUUAACCGAAUAGGGGAGCCGAAGGGAAACCGAGUCUUAACUGGGCGUUUAGUUGCAAGGUAUAGACCCGAAACCCGGUGAUCUAGCCAUGGGCAGGUUGAAGGUUGGGUAACACUAACUGGAGGACCGAACCGACUAAUGUUGAAAAAUUAGCGGAUGACUUGUGGCUGGGGGUGAAAGGCCAAUCAAACCGGGAGAUAGCUGGUUCUCCCCGAAAUCUAUUUAGGUAGAGCCUUGAGCGGACACCUUCGGGGGUAGAGCACUGUUUCGGCUAGGGGUCCAUCCCGGAUUACCAACCCGAUGCAAACUACGAAUACCGAAGAGUGAUACUCAGGAGACACACGGCGGGUGCUAACGUCCGUCGUGGAGAGGGAAACAACCCAGACCGCCAGCUAAGGUCCCAAAGUCUAUAUUAAGUGGGAAACGAAGUGGGAAGGCUUAGACAGCUAGGAUGUUGGCUUAGAAGCAGCCAUCAUUUAAAGAAAGCGUAAUAGCUCACUAGUCGAGUCGGCCUGCGCGGAAGAUGUAACGGGGCUCAAAUAUAGCACCGAAGCUGCGGCAUCAGACGAAAGUCUGUUGGGUAGGGGAGCGUUCUGUAAGCGGAUGAAGGUGAAUCGAGAGGUUUGCUGGACGUAUCAGAAGUGCGAAUGCUGACAUAAGUAACGAUAAAACGGGUGAAAAACCCGUUCGCCGGAAGACCAAGGGUUCCUGUCCAACGUUAAUCGGGGCAGGGUGAGUCGGCCCCUAAGGCGAGGCUGAAAAGCGUAGUCGAUGGGAAACGGGUUAAUAUUCCCGUACUUGGUAAAGCUGCGAUGUGGGGACGGAGCAGGUUAGGUUAGCGUGCUGUUGGAUAUGCACGUUUAAGUUGGUAGGUGGGAAGUUUAGGCAAAUCCGGACUUCCUUAACACUGAGAGAUGAUGACGAGGCUCUACGGAGCUGAAGUAACCGAUACCACACUUCCAGGAAAAGCCACUAAGCUUCAGGUUUAUCUAAACCGUACUGAAAACCGACACAGGUGGUCAGGUAGAGAAUACUCAGGCGCUUGAGAGAACUCGGGUGAAGGAACUAGGCAAAAUAGCACCGUAACUUCGGGAGAAGGUGCGCCGGCGUAGAUUGUAGUCCCUUGCGGAUGAAGGUUGAACCGGUCGAAGAUACCAGCUGGCUGCAACUGUUUAUUAAAAACACAGCACUCUGCAAACACGAAAGUGGACGUAUAGGGUGUGAUGCCUGCCCGGUGCUGGAAGGUUAAUUGAUGGUGUAAUCGAAAGAGAAGCUCCUGAUCGAAGCCCCAGUAAACGGCGGCCGUAACUAUAACGGUCCUAAGGUAGCGAAAUUCCUUGUC
rnacentral:rRNA from 1 species